UGUUAGGUGGCUGAGUAUAAAGGCGGUAGACUGUAGAUCUAUUAACGGAAUUAAAUUUUCUCAACUGU
rnacentral:tRNA from 2 species